GACGAACGCUGGCGGCGUGCUUAACACAUGCAAGUCGAACGGAAAGGCCCUGCUUUUGUGGGGUGCUCGAGUGGCGAACGGGUGAGUAACACGUGAGUAACCUGCCCUUGACUUUGGGAUAACUUCAGGAAACUGGGGCUAAUACCGGAUAGGAGCUCCUGCUGCAUGGUGGGGGUUGGAAAGUUUCGGCGGUUGGGGAUGGACUCGCGGCUUAUCAGCUUGUUGGUGGGGUAGUGGCUUACCAAGGCUUUGACGGGUAGCCGGCCUGAGAGGGUGACCGGCCACAUUGGGACUGCGAUACGGCCCAGACUCCUACGGGAGGCAGCAGUGGGGAAUAUUGCACAAUGGGCGGAAGCCUGAUGCAGCAACGCCGCGUGCGUGAUGACGGCCUGCGGGUUGUAAACCGCUUUCGCCUGUGACGAAGCGUGAGUGACGGUAAUGGGUAAAGAAGCACCGGCUAACUACGUG
rnacentral:rRNA from 1 species